UUUUUCAACGCAGUUCUCCGGGAACAAUUCAUUUGCUCGCGUUCAGCUGAAGGUAGAACAAAAUUAUUUUUUCCUUGUCAGACCAGCGGUCCGUUUUGUUGUGUGCGCGCAUAGCGACAUAGUCUAGCAUAUCACGAGCCAGAAGCAGUGUUGCAGUAGGUCGUGAUAUACAAGAACGGAGAGGAAGGCAGAGUCCUGAUCGGCCUUAACCGUGCCAUGUGGUGAAGUUCUGCUUAAAGAGUGCAGAGCUAUCCUUCUAGCCUUGGACGAAGCCAACGCACAGCGGCGGUCGUCCUGUGUCCCGCUUUCGGCAAAUACCACUGAGUCACACAUCAGUUGGAACUGAUGAUCGCUUGAUUUCAUGGGAUCGCACCAUGUCGCCAGUGCAGCGCACCACGUUCACUGUGUCGUCGAAGAACUCUUCUUCUUCUAACUGAAAGGUAUCUGGAGCUA